GGGUAUAGCUCAGCGGGAGAGCACAUGCUUAGCAUGCACAAGGUCCUGGGUUCAAUCCCCAGUACCUCCA
rnacentral:tRNA from 1 species